UACGGAAGGCAGCAGUGGGGAAUAUUGCACAAUGGGCGAAAGCCUGAUGCAGCUAUGCCGCGUGUAUGAAGAAGGCCUUAGGGUUGUAAAGUACUUUCAUCGGGGAGGAAAAACAAAACUAAUAAUUUUAUUUCUUGACGUUACCCGAAAAAGAAGCACCGGCUAACUCCGUGCCAGCAGCCGCGGUAAUACGGAGGGUGCUAGCGUUAAUCAGAAUUACUGGGCGUAAAGAGCACGUAGGUGGUUUUUUUAAGUCAGAUGUGAAAUCCCUGGGCUUAACCUAGGAACUGCAUUUUGAAACUGAAAUACUAGAGUAUCGUAGAGGGAGGUAGAAUUCUAGGUGUAGCGGUGAAAUGCGUAGAUAUCUGGAGGAAUACCUGUGGCGAAAGCGGCCUCCUAAACGAAUACUGACACUGAGGGUGCGAAAGCGUGGGGAGCAAACGAGGAUUAGAUACCCGU
rnacentral:rRNA from 1 species